rnacentral:rRNA from 1 species
GACGAACGCUGGCGGCGUGCUUAAUACAUGCAAGUCGAACGGAAAGGCCCUGCUUUUGUGUCGUGCUCGUUUGGCGAACGGGUGAGUAACACGUGAGUAACAUGCCCUUGUCUUUGGGAGAACUUCAGGAAACUGGGGCGAAUAUCGGAUAGGAUCUCUUGCUGCAUGUUGUGGGUUGGAAAGUGUCGGCGUUUGUGGCUGGACUCGCGGCUUAUCAGCUUGUUGGUGGGGUUGUGGCUUACCAAGGCUUUGACGGGUAGCCGGCCUGAGAGGGUGACCGGACACAUAGGGACGGAGACACGGGGCAGACUCCUACGAGGGGCAGAAGUGGGAAGGAGUGGACAAGGGGGGAUAACGUGAUCCAGCAAUGCCGCGAGAGUGAUGAUGGGCUAAGAGUUGUAAAGCUCUUUUCCCCGGAAUGAUAGUGACAGUACAAGGAGAAUAGGCUCCGGAUAACUGCG